AUUUCUCAGGUUCAGAGACCAAUGAGACAGUGGAGGAGUUUCAGUCGCAGGUCCAGAUGCAGGUCUCUCACGCACUGAAUAAUGUUUCAGACAAAUCAGAACUGAAGGAACUCGAGCUGCGUAUUCGAAAUGAAGUGACACAGUUGGGUGAAAGAGGAAGACUCAAGGAACACUUGCAGGUACUCAAUUCCAGCAUGUAGAGCGACUUAAGGAGCAGCUUCUAUUCUCAUCCAGCUGUGGACUGGAUCUGGACUUCAAAAAGGCUGCUGUCUUCUCUUCAUAAGGAGCUGGUCCUCCUUUUCAAAGCAAAACCAAAACCAAUUCUUUAAACACAGUUUUCCAGGCACGUUCUUUUUUUUCAGAGCCAUAAACUACCAUGUGAUCCUUUUGUACACUGUCCACCUUGAUCAAGAGGUUUCCACCUUCUUUAAAACUGCUUAAUUAUCUUUUCAUGUAAAAUGAUGUCUUUUCCAGGAGUAGCAAUCAGAUUCUUGCAUUAACCUUUCAAGGGACACUGUAUUUUAAAGCACAAAUUCUUCCAAAGUGUUCUUGGUCCUUGAAGAUGA